UUUCAAGAUUGAUACAGUAUUAUUAGAUUAUAUACAUACAAAAAUGAUGCAUGUGAUACUAAAUAAUGGGUACAUGUGAUUUCGUGGGGACCAUACACAAGACGUUGAAGAAAAAACACAAAAUUGGACAAAGAGGCGCUGCUAGACGCUAGUAUCUCUGGAGUCUUGAAGUUUACUAAUUGAUACCAUUGUCAUAUGAGUGAGCAGGAAGACAAAUUGAUUGACGAAAAGAUGGCUAAGCUCAGUUGUGAAAAUGAGGAAAUCAUUGGUGAUAAAGAUACUGAAGAGGAGGAAGAUACAGGGAUGUGAGAGAUUGAUGUGGGGAGCUCGGGAACUUGAAUUAGAGAAUAAAAACUGCAUCUUGUUUGGAAUUGGAUAACACAUUUUUGUUUGGUAUGUAACAAGAAUUGAUGGGAAAUAGAGGGAAGGAGAGAAAUUUUGAAAGGUUGGGAACUU